rfam:Gossypium arboreum cultivar AKA8401 contig_99394_1, whole genome shotgun sequence.
AUUCUAUGAUAAGGGCACUUUCGUAAAAAUUAUUUGUACCUUUCCCAUGCCUCAUACAAGGACUCAUCAUCCACUUGUUGGAAAGCAGUGAUCUCGUUCCUUAACUU